GUCUGAUGGUAUUGUAAAGUCUUUAAAAUUAUCAACCUUAAUAUUACAUAACUGCAGUAAAUAUUUUGUGAAUAAAACUGGUUGUAAAUUGGAUUGCAUGCAUACUCUUGCCGCAUCACUAGCAAGGUUAUUUGUGAGAGUUGGAGAUUUUAUGCGACACCAAAAUUUUGCUAUAAAUGUAGCUAUUUCGACAAUCAGAGGUGUCCGUCCUAUCUCACCAUAUACAGCUAGAUUUGUUGAUUUUGAAUGAACGCCUAGAAUUCUUUUACAGAAU